GUCCCCCGCGGACCGAUCUCUCAGGUGUGCGGGUACCUGCGGAAGAAGAACUUCACUUCCGCGCUGAACCGACUGCUGCAGGUGUCCGGCUUCAAGGAGGCAUCUGAUAAAAGUGUGUGGGAAAAUAAUUUCUAACGAGCGUAAAGAGAUGGUGAACGACCUGGAGGGGCCGUACAGGAAGACCUUCAACGCUGAGAACCUGUCAGCCUUCAGCUGGGAUAAGACUACUUCCUGGGCCGAGGAGAAGGCACCUCUGACUGUAGCCAGUCUCAGGUCCAUGUUCCCCUCCGCCAAAAAGAUCCAGAAACAGAUCGUAAACUACAGCCCAGGGAAUAAACCACGGCGGAUGACUGACGAGGAGGUGAAGCAGAUGUUGGACCGGAGGAUCAGCCUCGUCCUCUCGGUGCCUCUGUACACCAGCACCCUCAGAGCCUGUUUCCUUCAGACGGCCUUCAGCGUGGAGAUGCUCCGACACCGCUGUCCCAUCAAACUCUUCACCAUCACCAACAGCCUCGGCAUCUCUCAGUCCAAAACCACCGCCAGGAUCCACACCAAGAAACUCGCCGAUGAGCACGCCAGACAGGUGAAGCAGUGGAGAGACGAGAUCCAGACGACCAGAAAGACGCAGUACUGCAGUAACGACUCCAAGAAGGCGGCAGCUUAUACCUUCAGCUGGGGAAAAGUUCGGGUGCCGUCUGUGUCCAGGUCCGACUCUACAGAACGAGGAUACACCUUUGUGACGUGGGCGUUUCGCUUCGCUCAUCAAGUUCGGAUUAAUUUUCGGUACCUGCACGAACCUCCGAUAAAAGCAGUCGAAGUGUCUCCUUCCAGUAUCCUUCCCUCCAAACAGACGUACGAGUCAUUGCGACGGCGAAUGAAAACAUUAGUGAUGCGGAUCAUCGCCGACAACCUAGCGGCCCUGGAAGGACCGAGAGGUCGAGUGGUGAGGCACAUUCCUCACAUCUACUCCAACCUGAUGAAGGAGGAGAGCACCACCGUGAGUCUGGGUGCAGUGAUACCAAACACCACAGAGGAAUCUGUCAGCGCAGCGUACGGCCUGAAAGACUACAUCCCUGUGGUUUCUGGGACGCCGCACCACAUCCUGUGUUGUGGGGACGUCUUCGGCACCGACAGGACCGAGCCCGGCAACACAACACAGAAAAACGAAACUCCGAACCCGAACCCUGACAUGAAGUUUGACUGGACUCGUAGAAGCUCCACAAGAGUUUCAUAAGGAACAUCUGUUCCACGAGGAAAUGAUAAAGAUGCUUCUCAGUGAGAAGAGUGAGAACGAUCGAGGAACUCUUCAUCACAUCGUCUCAAAGUUUCACUUUAAGACGUUUAACAACACGGCCAAAGAUUACUUCCUGAACAUCUGGGACUUCAUCACGUUUGUGACGACAGCGUACGUGACUCUGUUUGCUGUGACGGACUGCGGCCUGGACUCUGUGGACAAAAGACCCUCAGACUACCCCUCUCAAGUCUCGGCUCAGAUGGACUGGCUGAGUGAACUCGCUCACAGACUAGUGGAU